GAGCUUAUAUAAAGCACCUGUAUCAUUAUGGCUACCUCUUGGCUUUGUCUCUGCCUGAUUGUUGUCACAUGGGAUCAUCUCUGACUUUUAGCAGUCUGCUGCUUACCCGACUGUUGUCUGCUUGGGCCUGGAAGGGAUUCCAAGCUCCGUGGCCUGGAAUGGUGUGAUGAAUUCCCUCUUAGCCUACUGAAUACAUUUGCGUGAAGGUGGGGAGAAGCAUGGACUAACCUGACUCCGCCAGAUGGAUUGCUUCGCAUUUGCUCGGCAUAUCCAUCUGAGAACUUUCGGUUGGAGAACUUUUAGGAAAAUACUGGUUAGCUAAUUGGAUAAACCAUCUGUCUAUCACCACCUAUGUUGGUGAUAGAUGGGCCAAAUCAACAAAUAAGAUCAAACUCGUUGGGAGAAGAGCAAAAACAUCUUUUCCUCCAAGAAAAGCCUCCAGUGCUGUUUUUUGCUCUUCUUUCAAUGAAGGAAUACUUUCUAAUUUGGAUAAAACUUGUGCGAUAGCUACGCUUAUCUCAUCUGUGGAAGCUGCCAUGUUGUUUAGACUGAACAGUAGCUUCUCGUUGCGCCACACCUAAACCUGCCUCAAAACCAAUGCUGAUUGGUCGGUCAUUUGGCGAACGGCUCCAAAUUGUCUCUAUCUCAAGAUGCCAGACUGAUCUACGAGUGGAAAACUGGAGCUCGCAAGAUCAGGACGGUCUCACGAGGCUAAGCAUGGACACCUUCCUCAAGGAAACUGGCCCUGCUCAGCCCUUUCUCCUAUGUGUUGGAGAAAGAAAAAACAGCAUCCAGAACUUUUACAUCAUCCUGGACCAAAAGGCCAUUCCAUGUAAGACGCAGACGUUGAAGUUGCUGCCUUUGACGAGCAUUCAGACAACCGUGUAUGGCAUUGAUGUUGGCAGUGUGAAGAAGAGUCCUCGGGUGAAGGAAAUUAGAGCAAGACUUCUUCACAGUUCAGUUUGAGAGGAACUAAUUUCUGACUUAAAAUGUUUACAUGUUACAUUUGCAAGUUACACCACAGAAUUUGUUAAUUUGUUUUUUGCACAUUGCUCUGGCACUUAUCUCGAGCACACAAUGACUGUGUUGCUUCAGAUUUCCUCAGCAAUGUUGAGUUUGAGCCUGCAGCUGAUGUUGGAGCUUUUCUUUCACAACCAGAUAAUGUGGAUUCUCCCGUGACUGUCACUACACACAUUUCAAUGGAAAUAAGGAAAAUACUAGACAUGUGCAGCUCUGUUGCUCUGUUUGCUCAAGUCAGGCCUCAGGAGUUCCUGAAAGUACUGUGCAAUGUUUAGCUGGUUCAAUGGAGGAACUGGUUAAUGACAUACAUACUCAAGCAAAAGAAGCUGUUCUUGAAUGUUUGUCAUCUGAUGCAUCUAGAGAAAACUUAGAAAAAGUUGAGGAUUGUUUUGAUCAGCUUGGAAAUCCAUUUUCAUUUCUUAACACAGAAUCUAAACAAAUGAGGCAUUUUGGGGGAAAAAUGUAAAAUAGUGGAACCUGUAGAGCAUUUUUCCCCAAAAUGCACACCAAGAAUAUUCUUAAAGGAGUAUAGUUCUGGAUUUCGUGAGGCAACAUUUGAGACAAAAACUGAGAAAUGAUGCUGAUUCAUUCCAUAUUCCAAACAUAACCUUAAGACGUGUUCAGGUUGAUUUAUUGGCCCAAAUACUACAUUGUUGCCAACACAUUCCUUUUAUAUACUACAGAAUGGUUAUUCCUCAUCUGUUUUGGAUGAUGAGUUUUACUGUGUGAUUAAUGUUCACAUGCAACUUGUUUUGCUGCCAAAGAAGUGUUAUGUGUUUAUGUGUGCUUGCAUAUCGGUCAGCGUGCAUGAGGUUUCUGCAUCUUGCAUGUGCAUAGGUGCGGGAAGUGGCGAAGCUUUAAAACUGCGAUGACAAUAAAAUGUUAGCUUAUAAA